CUACGGGAGGCAGCAGUGGGGAAUAUUGCACAAUGGGGGGAACCCUGAUGCAGCAACGCCGCGUGGAGGAUGACGCAUUUCGGUGUGUAAACUCCUUUUAUAUGUCAAGAAAAUGACGGUAGUAUAUGAAUAAGCACCGGCUAACUCCGUGCCAGCAGCCGCGGUAAUACGGAGGGUGCAAGCGUUACUCGGAAUCACUGGGCGUAAAGGACGCGUAGGCGGGUUGGAAAGUCAGGUGUGAAAUCCUACAGCUUAACUGUAGAACUGCACUUGAAACUUCUAAUCUAGAGUAUGGGAGGGGGAGAUGGAAUUAGUGGUGUAGGGGUAAAAUCCGUAGAUAUCACUAGGAAUACCUAAAGCGAAGGCGAUCUCCUGGAACAUUACUGACGCUAAGGCGUGAAAGCGUGGGGAGCAAACAGGAUUAGAUACCCGUGUAGUC
rnacentral:rRNA from 1 species